rnacentral:rRNA from 1 species
AAAUGACUCUCGGCAACGGAUAUCUCGGCUCACGCAUCGAUGAAGAACGUAGCAAAAUGCGAUACUUGGUGUGAAUUGCAGAAUCCCGUGAACCAUCGAGUUUUUGAACGCAAGUUGCGCCCGAAGCCUUUUGGCCAAGGGCA